rnacentral:rRNA from 1 species
AUACGUAGGUGACAAGCGUUAUCCGGAUUUACUGGGCGUAAAGGGCGUGUAGGCGGUCUUGCAAGUCAGAAGUGAAAUUCCUGAGCUCAACUCGGGCGCUGCUUCUGAAACUGCAGGACUUGAGUGCUGGAGGGGAUAGCGGAAUUCCUAGUGGAGCGGUAAAAUGCGCAGGUAUUAGGAAGAACACCGGUGGCGAAGGCGUCUAGCUGGAAAGUAACUGACGUGGAGGCGCGAAAUCUGGGGGAGAAAACAGGAUUAGAUUCCCUGGUAGUCCACGCCGUAAACGAUGAAUACUAGGUGGAGGGGGUAUCGACUCCCUCUGUGCCGCAGUUAACACAAUAAGUAUUCCGCCUGGGGAGUACGGCCGCAAGGUUGAAACUCAAAUGAAUUGACGGGG